rnacentral:lncRNA from 1 species
AAGUGCAGUAUGACGGUGAUCUCUGAACAGUUGCAAGGAGGCUAAUAACAUGUUAGCUCCUCUUAAUAUCUUGGUUGAUGCCAUCUGUCAGAUUUAGCCCACCGAGUUCCUAUUUUGCAUUUACUUUGCUUCUCUAAAGUUCUCUUCGUGCUGCAAGGAAGACGCGAGGGUUAGUUGCAUUCCUGCUGCCUUGCUUGAGAUGAAUCCAUUUGGUUAUUUUGCCUUUAAAUUCUAUAACACACCAUCGUAUCUAUUGGUAGGUGUCAUUCUGCUUCUCCUUGCAUGUCUAUUUGUGCGCUUGGGUUGCAGAUCAGGUUAGUAACACAUGGGAUCGUAUAGUUAUUCUAUUACUCAAGGCCCACCAUGGUGGUCAUUAUAUCCCUGGGUUAAGCAAGCUGAGCAUGUUAUGCAAGCUAUCGUGUGAGAUGCGCAUGCAUCACUGCCUAAAAAAGGGUCCAGACAGCAACGACAAGUGCUUACUAUGCUCCAUUAAAGCAGCUAAGAAGAUAAUUUAGUUUGGGUGAAUUUAUUAAUUUAUUAAUUAGCUUGAAGAAGAAAAAUAUUUCAGAACAGUGUCGUCAUAGAGUUAUGUUCAGUUUGGUGCUUUGGGUCAUUCUGGAUAAGUGAUUGGGUAGCGGUUGCUGUUUACUCGCAAGGGAUGGAUUGGUGCAAGUGAGUUUAUGAAAGCCUACUGGAACUGUUUGUGGAAGUAGUUGUAUGAACAUGUUGUGUGCAACUGAACUGAUCUGAUUGCUUAUCUUUGGAAAUCUUCACAUGAUGUGUUGUGCAUUGGUCUGCAUUAUAU